rnacentral:rRNA from 1 species
GAUGAACGCUGGCGGCGUGCCUAAUACAUGCAAGUCGAGCGAACAGAUAAGGAGCUUGCUCCUUUGACGUUAGCGGCGGACGGGUGAGUAACACGUGGGUAACCUACCUAUAAGACUGGGAUAACUUCGGGAAACCGGAGCUAAUACCGGAUAAUAUUUCGAACCGCAUGGUUCGAUAGUGAAAGAUGGUUUUGCUAUCACUUAUAGAUGGACCCGCGCCGUAUCAGCUAGUUGGUAAGGUAACGGCUUACCAAGGCGACGAUACGUAGCCGACCUGAGAGGGUGAUCGGCCACACUGGAACUGAGACACGGUCCAGACUCCUACGGGAGGCAGCAGUAGGGAAUCUUCCGCAAUGGGCGAAAGCCUGACGGAGCAACGCCGCGUGAGUGAUGAAGGUCAUCGGAUCGUAAAACUCUGUUAUUAGGGAAGAACAUACGUGUAAGUAACUGUGCACGUCUUGACGGUACCUAAUCAGAAAGCCACGGCUAACUACGUG